UUUUUGUUUUGUCGUGCAUUGAGCAACAAGGAAAAAUUCUCGUUUUUAAAUAUUUAUUUUUUAUAUUUUAAGUCUUGACAAAUUUCAAAGUUUUCUUUUAUAAAUGGGUGCUGCGCGUUCACAACCUAUCAUUGAAGAGGACGUUCGUGCCUACUCAAAAUUCUUGGAAAAAUUCAAAGAUACCCACUCCUACUUAAGUGAAAAUGAGGUUGAGCAAAAUGCUGUAAUGACAUGGGAUACUAUGACUCCCGAGCAGAAGAGCCAAUUUCUCAAUAAUGAGGAGAAGGCUCGUGCUUACAUCAAACACGAGUAUAUCCCUAAGAAAGCCAGCACCAGGACGAUACCAACUGAGAAACCAAAACCAAAGCCAAAGCAAAAAGUAAAACCGAAACCGAAAAAAAAACCGAUUGCGGCUAAAACAAAAAUUAUGACUUCACGCAAAUCGCAGAAGGCAAUCAAUUCAAAAUCAAAGGGAAAGAACAUGAAUUUAUCAUAUUGCACAAACAAUGCGUUUCGUCAUUUUAUUCGGGAGUUCCGGAAACGCAACAGUGAUCUUGAUUUGCAAACAGCCGUCAAGCUGGGCGCUAAAGCUUGGUGUCUACUCUACCAGGAGGAGAGAGAAAUGUUGAAAAAACUUAUUACCAAGAAAGGUUCGAUAAGUGACGUCAGUUUUAUGUACCUAUAACUGACUUGCAUAUGCUAAAUCUUUGGGUUAAAUAUCUAAAUUUGUAUUUAUUUAAAUACAUAUAAGCUUCUUAAAACGUG